rnacentral:rRNA from 1 species
CCUACGGGAGGCAGCAGUGGGGAAUAUUGGGCAAUGGGCGCAAGCCUGACCCAGCAACGCCGCGUGAAGGAAGAAGGCUUUCGGGUUGUAAACUUCUUUUGUCAGGGACGAAGCAAGUGACGGUACCUGACGAAUAAGCCACGGCUAACUACGUGCCAGCAGCCGCGGUAAUCCGUAGGUGGCAGGCGUUAUCCGGAUUUACGGGGGGUAAGGGGGGUGUAGGCGGGACUGCAAGUCAGAGGGAAAAACCACGGGCGCAACCUGUGUCCUGCAUUUGAAACUGUAGUUCUUGAGUACUGGAGAGGCAGACGGAAUGCCUAGUGUAGCGGUGAAAUGCGUAGAUAUUAGGAGGAACACCAGUGGCGAAGGCAGUCUGCUGGACAGCAACUGACGCUGAGGCGCGAAAGCGUGGGGAGCAAACAGGAUUAGAUACCCGGGUAGUC